rnacentral:snRNA from 1 species
UUGCUUGCUUUGGCAGCAUAUAUACUAAAAUUAGAAUGCUACAGAGAUUAGCAUGGCCCUUGCACAAGGAUGACAUGCAAAUUUGUGAACCAUUCCAUACUUUU